rnacentral:rRNA from 1 species
UACGUACGUGGCGGCGUGCUAUACAUGCAAGUCGAGCGAAUGGAUUAAGAGCUUGCUCUUAUGAAGUUAGCGGCGGACGGGUGAGUAACACGUGGGUAACCUGCCCAUAAGACUGGGAUAACUCCGGGAAACCGGGGCUAAUACCGGAUAACAUUUUGAACCGCAUGGUUCGAAAUUGAAAGGCGGCUUCGGCUGUCACUUAUGGAUGGACCCGCGUCGCAUUAGCUAGUUGGUGAGGUAACGGCUCACCAAGGCAACGAUGCGUAGCCGACCUGAGAGGGUGAUCGGCCACACUGGGACUGAGACACGGCCCAGACUCCUACGGGAGGCAGCAGUAGGGAAUCUUCCGCAAUGGACGAAAGUCUGACGGAGCAACGCCGCGUGAGUGAUGAAGGCUUUCGGGUCGUAAAACUCUGUUGUUAGGGAAGAACAAGUGCUAGUUGAAUAAGCUGGCACCUUGACGGUACCUAACCAGAAAGCCACGGCUAACUACGUGCCAGCAGCCGCGGUAAUACGUAGGUGGCAAGCGUUAUCCGGAAUUAUUGGGCGUAAAGCGCGCGCAGGUGGUUUCUUAAGUCUGAUGUGAAAGCCCACGGCUCAACCGUGGAGGGUCAUUGGAAACUGGGAGACUUUGAGUGCAGAAGAGGAAAGUGGAAUUCCAUGUGUAGCGGUGAAAUGCGUAGAGAUAUGGAGGAACACCAGUGGCGAAGGCGACUUUCUGGGUCUGUAACUGACACU